GACAGAGGGUGCAAACGUUUGUUCGGAAUUACUGGGCGUAAAGCGCGUGUAGGCGGCUAUGUAAGUCGGAUGUGAAAGCCCUCGGCUCAACCGGGGAAGUGCACCCGAAACUGCCCAGCUUGAGUCUCGGAGAGGAAGGCGGAAUGCUUGGUGUAGAGGUGAAAUUCGUAGAUAUCAAGCGGAACACCGGUGGCGAAGGCGGCCUUCUGGACGAUGACUGACGCUGAGACGCGAAAGCGUGGGGGAGCAAACAGG
rnacentral:rRNA from 1 species